rnacentral:rRNA from 1 species
GACGAACGCUGGCGGCGUGCUUAACACAUGCCAGUCGAACGAAGAGCGACGGAAGCUUGCUUCUAUCAAUCUUAGUGGCGAACGGGUGAGUAACGCGUAAUCAACCUGCCCUUCAGAGGGGGACAACAGUUGGAAACGACUGCUAAUACCGCAUACGAUCUAACCUCGGCAUCGAGGAUAGAUGAAAGGUGGCCUCUACAUGUAAGCUAUCACUGAAGGAGGGGAUUGCGUCUGAUUAGCUAGUUGGAGGGGUAACGGCCCACCAAGGCGAUGAUCAGUAGCCGGUCUGAGAGGAUGAACGGCCACAUUGGGACUGAGACACGGCCCAGACUCCUACGGGAGGCAGCAGUGGGGAAUCUUCCGCAAUGGACGAAAGUCUGACGGAGCAACGCCGCGGGAGUGAUGACGGCCUUCGGGUUGUAAAGCUCGGUUAAUCGGGACGAAAGGCCUUCUUGCGAAUAGUGAGAAGGAUUGACGGUACCGGAAGAGAAAGCCACGGCUAACUACGUG